rnacentral:rRNA from 1 species
CCGCCGCGGUAAUACGUAGGGGGCAAGCGUUAUCCGGAAUCACUGGGCGUAAAGGGUCCGCAGGUGUCCCGUUAAGUUAGAUGUUAAAUCGCAAGGCUCAACCUUGCGGCUGCAUCUAAUACUGACAGGAUAGAGGAUAGGUGACGGAAGUGGAAUUCCUGGUGGAGAGGUAAAAUCCGUAGAUAUCAGGAGGAACACCCGUGGCGUAGGCGGCUUCCGAACCUAUUCCUGACACUCAGGGACGAAAGCUAGGGGAGCAAACAGGAUUAGAUACCCUGGUAGUCCUAGCUGUAAACGAUGAAUACUAGAUAGUGGGUGCUACACCGUACUCACCGUCGUAGCUAACGCGUUAAGUAUUUCGCCUGGGAACUACGAUCGCAAGUUUGAAACUCAAAGGAAUUGACGGGUCCCCGCACAAGCAGCGAGGCAUGUGGCUUAAUUCGAUGCAACACGAAGAACCUUGCCUGGACUUGACAUGUUUCUGAAAGGCCGGAGAAACCCGGUCCCUUCCAGUUUACUGGAACAGUUUCACAGGUGGUGCAUGGUUGUCGUCAGCUCGUGUCGUGAGAUGUAAGGUUAAGUCCUUAAACGAGCGUAACCUUUGUCAUUAGUUGCCACCGGUUCGGCCGAGCACUCUAAUGAGACCGCUAGCGACAAGCUAGAGGAAGAUGGAGAUGACGUCAAAUCCUCACGUCCCUUAUGUCCAGGGCCGCACACAUGCGACAAUGGUAGAGACAGCGGGUUGCGACGGGGUAACCCUGAGCUAAUCCAUAAACUCUGCCUCAGUACAGAUCGAGGGCUGAAAUUCGACCUCGUGAAGAUGGAGUUGCUAGUAAACGCAGGUCAAAUAUACUGCGUUGAAUA